rnacentral:rRNA from 1 species
UACGUAGGGUCCAAGCGUUAUCCGGAAUCACUGGGCGUAAAGAGCGUGUAGGCGGUUCGGUAAGUCGGCUGUGAAAGUCCAGGGCUCAACCCUGGGAUGCCGGUCGAUACUGCCGGGCUAGAGUCCGGAAGAGGCGAGUGGAACUCCUGGUGUAGCGGUGGAAUGCGCAGAUAUCAGGAAGAACACCAACGGCGAAGGCAGCUCGCUGGGACGGUACUGACGCUGAGACGCGAAAGCGUGGGGAGCAAACAGG